rnacentral:tRNA from 3 species
GCGUCCUUAGUUCAGUUGGUAGAACGGCGGUCUCCAAAACCGCAUGUCGGGGGUUCGAGUCCUCCAGGGCGCG